ensembl:lncRNA
CUCCAGGCAAGAAUAAAGGAGUGCGUUGCCAUUUCCUUCUUCAGGGGAUCGUCCUGAUCCAGUGAUCAGACCCAUGUCUCCUGAAUUGCAGGCAGAUUCUUUACUGCUGAGUCACCAGGGAUGCCCCCACGGCACAGGGGAGAGAGAUCUACAUUGGUGCAGCCAGGAGCUAAUUCUAAGGUGCCAGUGGCAUUUGGAGAUGCAGAGAUUUCAACCUUCAAAUCUACUGAGGUUCUUGAGUAUCUGACCGAACUAUCGGAUACCACAGAGAGACUGCAAGACUGAAAAGUAGCAAUGGCUUUGAUCAUUUACUGAGAAUUUUAAAUGAACUUGCUAUCAUGCUCAUUUAGACACUUUGGAAAAUGUAUUAUCAUCAUUUAACCAAUUAAUUUAGGUAAGCUUAUUGAAGAGUGCUUCACUUUGCACUUGUUGAACUUAAGGAUUGUUUAUACUUGCUUCCUUGGAACAAAUACAUCCAUAGUCCAAAUUAUAACAUGAUCUUUAC